rnacentral:rRNA from 1 species
ACGGAAGGCAGCAGUGGGGAAUAUUGCACAAUGGGGGAAACCCUGAUGCAGCAACGCCGCGUGAGUGGUGACGGUCUUCGGAUUGUAAAGCUCUGUCUUCAGGGACGAUAAUGACGGUACCUGAGGAGGAAGCCACGGCUAACUACGUGCCAGCAGCCGCGGUAAUACGUAGGUGGCAAGCGUUGUCCGGAUUUACUGGGCGUAAAGGGAGCGUAGGCGGAUUUUUAAGUGGGAUGUGAAAUACCCGGGCUCAACCUGGGUGCUGCAUUCCAAACUGGAGAUCUAGAGUGCAGGAGGGGAAAGUGGAAUUCCUAGUGUAGCGGUGAAAUGCGUAGAGAUUAGGAAGAACACCAGUGGCGAAGGCGACUUUCUGGACUGUAACUGACGCUGAGGCUCGAAAGCGUGGGGAGCGAACAGGAUUAGAUACCCUGGUA